rnacentral:rRNA from 1 species
UACAGAGGGUGCGAGCGUUGUCCGGAAUCACUGGGCGUAAAGGGCGCGUAGGUGGCCCGAUUAGUAGGGGGUGAAAUCUCGAGGCUCAACUUCGAGGCUGCCUCCUAAACUGUCGGGCUCGAGCAUAGUAGAGGCAGGUGGAAUUCCCGGUGUAGCGGUGGAAUGCGUAGAGAUCGGGAAGAACAUCGGUGGCGAAGGCGGCCUGCUGGGCUAUUGCUGACACUGAGGCGCGACAGCGUGGGGAGCAAACAGG